rnacentral:rRNA from 1 species
UACGUAGGGGGCAAGCGUUGUCCGGAAUCAUUGGGCGUAAAGCGCGUGUAGGCGGCCCGGUAAGUCCGCUGUGAAAGUCCAGGGCUCAACCCUGGAAUGCCGGUGGAUACUGUCGGGCUCGAGUCCGGAAGAGGCGAGUGGAAUUCCUGGUGUAGCGGUGAAAUGCGCAGAUAUCAGGAGGAACACCAAUGGCGAAGGCAGCUCGCUGGGACGGUACUGACGCUGAGUGCGAAGCGUGGGAGGCAAACAGG